rnacentral:rRNA from 1 species
GACGAACGCUGGCGGCGUGCUUAACACAUGCAAGUCGAACGCUGAAGCUCAGCCUUUGUUGGGUGGAUGAGUGGCGAACGGGUGAGUAACACGUGAGUAACCUGCCUCCUUCUUUGGGAUAACGCCCGGAAACGGGUGCUAAUACUGGAUAUUCACUGGUCUUCGCAUGGGGGUUGGUGGAAAGGGUUUUUCUGGUGGGGGAUGGGCUCGCGGCCUAUCAGCUUGUUGGUGGGGUGAUGGCCUACCAAGGCUUUGACGGGUAGCCGGCCUGAGAGGGUGACCGGUCACAUUGGGACUGAGAUACGGCCCAGACUCCUACGGGAGGCAGCAGUGGGGAAUAUUGCACGAUGGGCGGAAGCCUGAUGCAGCGACGCCGCGUGAGGGAUGGAGGCCUUCGGGUUGUGAACCUCUUUCGCUCAUGGUCAAGCCGCAACAAUGGUUGUGGUGAGGGUAGUGGGUAAAGAAGCGCCGGCUAACUACGUG